AUUAAAAGUAUUUUCUGCUCAGUGUUUAUAAAUAGCUGCGGUAAUUUGACCGUGCAAAGGUAGCAUAAUCAUUUGCUUCAUAAUUGGGGGCUAGUAUGAAUGGAAAUAUGAAAAUUUUUCUUUCUUUUUAUUUUUUUAAAAAAUUGUAGUUAAUGUGAAGAUACAUUAUUUUUAAUAAAAGACAAGAAGACCCUUUUGAGCUUUUAUUUAGUUGGGGCGAUUAAAGAAGACUUCUUUUUAUUUUGACCCAAAGUUUUUUGGUUUUUAGAAUUAGUUACCAAAGGGAUAACAGCGUAAUUUUUUUUAAGAGUUCUAAUUAAAAAAAAAGAUUGCGAC
rnacentral:rRNA from 1 species